rnacentral:hammerhead_ribozyme from 1 species
GUCCAGCUGACGAGAUCCAGAUAGAACGAAACGCGAGUCGUGGAU